UAAAAUAUGGAUAUUCUGACUGUGAGCCAUAAUUAGGCAUAACUCUGGCUGAACUAUAAUUCUGUCCUAGGUGUCUACAGGAUGUAUGCCUGGAAUCAAAAGGAGAAAUCUUAUGAUAAAUCUCAACUCAUUUAGAAGACAGAAGGUUCUUUCCAGAAAAAAUAAAUUGCACCUUUAGUGCAUAUUUCAUUUCCUUGAUAUGAAUUUCUGUGUUCAACCCGGUUAGGAUGUGUUUGACUUCUCUCUCUUGAUUUAUGUCACUUUCUUUUUCCUUUUCUGCACAGGCCUCUUGCCUUCCAGCCUUUCCCAUUCAUUUGAGGAUAUGAAGGUUUGAUGCAGGUGAAUUGGUCUCCCUGAAGACAAAGAGUUUGACAUAGAUUGCAGAAACUUUCCUAUAAAGUUGUAUAUCUGAUGAAGAGUUGUUAAAAGGAAUAGCUGCCUAAAGCAUCUCAUUUCACAUUACCCGGAAAGGGAGUUUUUGGCAGAAACCAUCAUUCUGAAUAGGUGAAAAUACAUUGCCCAGCACAUCUACCAAUGACACAUUAUAGACAUUACUCCCAUGAAUAAUUGAAAUUAUUUCCCACAGAGUUCACUUUAUUAGUAUUCAUUUGAGCAACACGAUAAUAAAUUCG
rnacentral:lncRNA from 1 species